CAUAAGAAUCUGUAGAUUGUCUUUUGGAUUCAAAGUCAGAAUCAUUAAGAGUACAAAGCAGGCUGACUGAAUGCAAACCUGCCAUUUUAAGUGUGUGUGUGUGUGUUUUAAAAUUAAUGGAUUGUUUUCAGUUAUUUACAUUUACAAUUCAAUGGCCUUGGAAAAAAUACAACAUCUCAUCCAAGCACCAACAUUGGCUAAGAACAACUGACAAUAGCAAAGAGCAACUUUCAGUAUUGAAAUACUCCCCAUCCCUGGAAGCUGACUUGUGGUUCAUUUUUUAAUUUAUUCUGCAAACUUCACUCUCUGGUGGCAGAAUGGCCAAAUUAUAUAUCCACUUUUUGGAAUGUUAUUAAACUUUCUGGCUCUGGCUCAAGACUUGUUACAUCCCAGAACUGAAAACAGAUGAGGCUUCCUUUUCAGAGGAGGACUACUUCAGGUCCCAGCAUGAACCAGAGGAGAACGGGGCACACUGAGUGAACCCCUGAGACAAUACUCCAAGACAAUCCUCUGCCUCAGAAACCUGCAGAAACAGAGGACCUAAUAUUUCCCAACUGGACCCUGCCCCUGCCUUUGGACCUCCAACAACCACCACAGGAUCAUUAAAAACAGAGAUGGAAAUGAGCUCAAACUGAAGGGUUGACACUCACCUGGCAUAAUGAGGAAUUCCAUUCUGGAGUCCUACCUGGAAGGAGGAAACUGGACCAUAAAUGGCCAAGAUCAGCCCAAGACAUGGUUUGGGUGUCAACAGAAAGUUUGUGUCACCACCAUAGCUGAGAAACUAGCAUAUCAGGCCCCUCCUCUCUAACCCCUGCACCCACUGGGAGUUUGGUUGGGAGCACUGGAUCCUUGCCACCUCCCACAGGCCAACAAAUCAGCUCACCUCAGAUAGCACCUGUCUUAUAUUAAACUGAAGGUUCUUUGAUAUUUCAA